rnacentral:misc_RNA from 1 species
GGGAGACGGAAUUCGAGCUCGCCCACUCUUGGAUCGGAAACCCGUCGGCCUCCGAACGGUAAGAGCCUAGCAUGUAGAACUGGUUACCUGCAGCCCAAGCUUGCUGCACGUCUAGGGCGCAGUAGUCCAGGGUUUCCUUGAUGAUGUCAUACUUAUCCUGUCCCUUUUUUUUCCACAGCUCGCGGUUGAGGACAAACUCUUCGCGGUCUUUCCAGUGGGGAUCCAAUAUCCGUACACCAUCAGGGUACGAGCUAGCCCAUGGCGUACACCAUCAGGGUACGACUAGUAGAUCUCGUACACCAUCAGGGUACGGAAUUCUCUAGA